GACGAACGCUGGCGGCGUGCUUAACACAUGCAAGUCGAACGGAAAGGCCCUGCUUUUGUGGGGUGCUCGAGUGGCGAACGGGUGAGUAACACGUGAGUAACCUGCCCUUGACUUUGGGAUAACUUCAGGAAACUGGGGCUAAUACCGGAUAGGAGCUCCUGCUGCAUGGUGGGGGUUGGAAAGUUUCGGCGGUUGGGGAUGGACUCGCGGCUUAUCAGCUUGUUGGUGGGGUAGUGGCUUACCAAGGCUUUGACGGGUAGCCGGCCUGAGAGGGUGACCGGCAACAUUGGGACUGAGAUACGGCCCAGACUCCUACGGGAGGAAGAAGGGGGGAAUAUUGCACAAUGGGCGGAAGCCUGAUGCAGCAACGCCGCGUGCGGGAUGACGGCCUUCGGGUUGUAAACCGCUUUCGCCUGUGACGAAGCGUGAGUGACGGUAAUGGGUAAAGAAGCACCGGCUAACUACGUG
rnacentral:rRNA from 1 species